rnacentral:rRNA from 1 species
UACGUAGGGUGCGAGCGUUAAUCGGAAUUACUGGGCGUAAAGCGUGCGCAGGCGGUUCGUUAUGUCCGAUGUGAAAGCCCCGAGCUUAACUUGGGAAUGGCAUUGGAAACUGGCGGGCUGGAGUGCGGCAGAGGGGGGUGGGAAUUCCACGUGUAGCAUGUGAAAUGCGUAGGAAGAUGUGGAGGAACACCGAGUGGCGAAGGCAGCCCCUGGGCCACCAGUGACGCCUCAGGGC